AACGCGAAGAACCUUACCCAGGCUCGAAAUGUAGGUGGCGAUAUCAGAGAUGAUAUUUUCCGUAAGGACGCCUAUAUAGGUGCUGCAUGGCUGUCGUCAGCUCGUGCCGUGAGGUGUUGGGUUAAGUCCCGCAACGAGCGCAACCCUUAUCAUUAGUUGCCAACACGCAAGGUGGGGACUCUAGUGAGACUGCCUAGGUUAACUAGGAGGAAGGUGAGGAUGACGUCAAGUCCGCAUGGCCUUUAUGUCUGGGGCUACACACGUGCUACAAUGGUCGGUACAGAAGGGAGCAAGACCGUGAGGUGGAGCAAAUCCGUAAAACCGAUCUCAGUUCAGAUUGUAGUCUGCAACUCGACUACAUGAAGCUGGAAUUGCUAGUAAUGACGUGUCAGCAACAACGUCGUGAAUACGUUCCCGGGCCUUGUA
rnacentral:rRNA from 1 species